rnacentral:rRNA from 1 species
GUGCAAAGGUAGCAUAAUCAUUAGGGAUUUAAUUGGAACCUGGAAUGAAGGGUCGAACAAGGAAAAAGCUGUCUCUAUAGUAUAAGUUGAAAUUUACUUUUAAGUGAAAAGGCUUAAAUAUAUCAAAGGGACGAUAAGACCCUAUAAAGCUUUAUAGGUGGGUUAGACUUAGUUGAUUUAGAUAGAUAAAAAUUAAGUUUGAUUACUUUAUUUCAUUGGGGUGAUGUGAGUAUAAUUAUUAUUAACUGCUUAAAAAAAAUACUUUUAUAAAAGAAUUGAAAGGGUAUGAUCCUUUUUAGAGAUUAUAAGACUAAGUUACUUUAGGGAUAACAGCGUUAUUUCUUUUGAGAGUUCUUAUCGAAAAAGAAGAUUGCGACCUCGAUGUUGAAUUAAAAUAUCUAUAUAAUGCAGUCGUUAUAAAAGAGGGUCUGUUCGACCUUUAAAUUUUUACAUGAUUUGAGUUCA